UUUAGCCCUGUAUCUUAACCUGGGCUGUGAUUCCACUGUCCUCCUUGCACACCGAGCCUGUGUAAAGCCUGAUUACUUCACCUUUCUGCAGGCAAAGUUAUUUUCUUGCAUCUGUGCAUCUCUGUCAGGAAUCAGGGCCUGCAAAAAACCAGUCUCUGGGCUCCCUGUCAAAUGCAGCUGGUCUGUAGAAGACUGCCUGAUUGGUUACACUGCUAGUUGGAAGGGUCAGCUGACUGGCUCUUACGAUCAGCAGCAGGUGAAUGGUGAGCUGAUGAGGUUACCCAGAUAAAGGGUAUAGAGGGAGAAAAGGAGGAGGACACACUGAAGAGACAUGGAAAGAAUGAUCAGAGAGGUAGGAAGAGACUCAGAUAAAGUCCUUUCUUCACAAACAUGGUGCAUGAAUGUCAGUUUUAUAUCAACAGCUAAUUGAGAUUCAUCCUUCAUCAUCACUGCUGCUCCAUCCAUCUUCAAAUGCUGGAUGUAAGUGUUGCUGAGAGCUACACUCCUCGUUCCCCUUUGGUUGUUUAUGUAUGCAGUUGUGGCUGUGUAGUUGAACCAAGACAUGGCUGCCCUCCUGAUGCACUAUGCUGUUCUGGGUCCUAGAAGCAUUCCCCCUCUCUUCAGCCUGGCAUCUGUUGUGAAAACCUACAGGUCUGGAAGGUAUAUAGGAAGAUCCCUGUGGAUGUUCUCUGAGACUAUCCAUUAUCUUAAGGGAUUCCAGCACCUGGUUUGGAACCGGAAAGUGGCCCUGCAUUCGCUCCAAGGAAUGGUCCCAUACUCUCAGAAGAAAGGCCUGGAGACACCAGAUGUGUGACCUAGUCCUUGGGGAGACCCAUGUGUACAAGAGCAGAAGGCCCAGUGGAUAGAGACGCUGAGCUAUGGUUGGCCUCAUGCAUUUGUUCAGCAUGGAUAUGAGAUCUUGGAUCAUCUGGAACCUGUCUAGAUGGGUAGAUCUUUGUCACUGAAGUGCAUCUCCACUGCUAGGUGAAUUACGUUUGUCUAACGAAUCAGGGAGCUUUUCCUGGUGUUAUUGCAAAGUCUGGUUGUAGCAGGGUGCUGGUGCAAAAGCACCUAAUUACCUCUGUUCAGCCAGCUCCAAUCAAGGGAAAUACAUUGGGGCUGCUGAAACAGACCUGAUGCCUGGCCUGGGGAUUGGCUCCACCUGUGGGCCUGACAAGCCAGCAGUUAUAAAGGCUGGGAGCCAGAAGAAAAGCGAGGCAGGGAAAGGUCAGACUCCUAGCUGGGGGCUGACUGCAGGAAAAGAGGGAACUAACCCUGUAAGCCUUGUAUAUAGCUCAACGCUGGUGGUGGGAGAAAUGUGUAUGUGUAAAUAAAGCCAGAGGUGCUGCAUACCUGAAAGCCUCUCUGCACUUUAUUGGGAUAGCCAGCAGGCUCUGGAAGAGGCGCGUGACAGAGAACCUGUCACACUGGUGCUUGGAGAUAAUCCAGAGUCUAGGUUGUGGCACUGCAUGCUGUGGUUUGUGAGCUGUGCCUUGUUGUACAACCAGCCACUUAGGACUCUGGGUGCAGAGGGUGAAUCUCAAAGAAGGAUUUAGUUAUGCUGAGGAUUUUGUUGGUUUGGAGGAAUACUGAUCUAGGUUUCCUUGGAAGCUUCUGCUGCAGAUUUUUUCCCCAUGCCACUGUACAAGUAUUGUAAUGCAAUCACUAUCAUGAAAGUGCAAUUUACGUUUUAUAUGAAUGCACUCAAAAACAAAACAAUGUAAAAGUUUAGAGCCUACAAGUCAAAGCAUGAAGGGGCAUAUGAAUGUUUAGCAUAUAUGGCACGUAAAUAUUUUGCAACAGCCACUACAACAGUGCCAUGCGAACGCUUGUUCUCAUUUUCAGGUGAUGUAAAUAAGAGGCAGGCAGCAUUAUCUCCCAUAAAUGUAAACAAACUUGUUUGUCUUAGCAACUGGCUCAACAUAUAGGACUACGUGGAUUUGUAUGAGGUGAAUUGAAAAAAUACUAUUUCUUUUAUGUUUUUAGUGCAAAUAUCUGUAAUAAAAAAUAUAAAGUGAGCAUUGUACACUUUGUAUCUGUGUUGUAAUUGAAAUUACUAUAUUUGAAAAUGUAGAAAAAGAUCCAAAAAUACACAUAAUAAAUUUAAAUUAGUAUUCUAUUAUUGUUUAACAGUACGAUUAAAACUGCGAUGAAUCAUGA